ensembl:lncRNA SNHG31 small nucleolar RNA host gene 31
UGAGCGCAGUCGCGAGGCUGUAGUUGGCAGGAGAGCGGGCGGGGCCUGAAGCCCCUCUGGGCUGCCUGGACGGAUGAAGUCCAGGUGGAAAGCCAGUCGACGUUUCCCGGGAGCUACGACUCCAGGGACCCUCAUCCGAGCUUAACCGUUGGAACAAUCACAAACCCAGAAACUUUUAGCUGAGUGUUAUUUAUAAAAAGCGCUGUUUUGACUGCUGUUGGACUUGGAAAAGCUUUGCCCACGAUACUGAAGCGUAAUUAGCUGCCUACUUUUCAAAAUUAUGUGAUGACUUCAUGGGAAAAGAGAUUCACAAGAACCAGUAACAGGAAAGCUUAAAUAAGCUUGGAAAUCUUUAAACUUUCAAUAUCGAAUCAAGAAAUACUCUAUUUCACCAGAGGAAUCCUUGCAAAUACAUUUUACUCCACUAUGCAAAAUCCUGUGGAACCAGUUUUUUAUACAUAUUUUUAGCUGAAAGAUCAAGGAAAUGUGUCACAGUUGGGGACCUGUAUCAUAAUUAUCUCUGUAGGUUCUACAGCAUCCAGCAUGAUGUCCAAAGUAGCGAGAUUGGAAAAUGCCAAAGCAAUUGGGGAAAAAAAUACUGUUUUCUCUGAAAUGAAGACUCCUCAAGAUCCUGUUGCUGGAAUGAGUAUUGGACUCUUCGGUCUACUUCUACAGUCACCAGUACAUCUGGCAUACACUAUGAUGCCCAACAGUAGGAAGAUGAAAGAAAUGUAGAUGUUGGCAUUUCUAAAAGAGAUGUUGUAUCUUUUUUCCUACUUAAUAGACUAUUAGGCUAUAAAUCUCAAUCUUGGCCAGCAAAUGUGUUUGCCAGCUUUUCUUUAUUCUUUUUAAUUUUUUUGAGGAUCAGCAUGGAAAAACAAUUUGCGCAAGGCUCAAGAAGAUGAGAUGGUCUUAUAAACAGUAAUUGAAAUAUGUAUAUUUUUUAAAAGUCUGUUUCAAAUUUCAAACCUUAUUUUAAAAACUAUGUGAAAGCCUCUUGUGAAACUCAACUGAAGUAGGCAUGGCUGAGUCCAGAGGAGCAGUGUGGAGGAUUAGAAAAAUAAACAGGCAGGAGUCAGACAGUCCUGGAUUCAAAUCCCACUUCUAGGCCUUAGAGAAAUAAUAUAAUAGUAGGGGAUAAUAAUAUUCACCCUGAAGAGUGCUGUAGGGAUCAUCAAUAUUUCAUAUAAAGCAUGUCAUAUGGGCAGUGCUCAAUGAAUGGCAAUGCUUUUGCCCAGGUAUAGAACUUCUUAGUAUAAAAGUUUUGUCUUUCAGAAAAUUAACAAAGAUAUUCAGGACCGGAAUUCAGCUCUGGAUCAAGUAGACCUGAUAGAUAUCUACAGAACUUUCUAUCCCAAAACAACAGAAUGUACAUUUUUCUCAUUGCCACAUGUCACUUACUCUAAAAUCGAUCACAUAAUCGGAAGUAAAACACUCCUCAGUAAAUGCAAAAGAACUGAAAUCAUAACAAACAGUCUCUCAGACCACAGUGCAAUUAAAUUAGAAUUCAAGAUUAGGAAAUUCAGUCAAAACCACACAACUACAUGGAAAUUGAACAACCUUUUCCAGAAUGACUCUUGGGUAAAUAAUGAAAUUAAGGCAGAAAUCAAGAAGUUCUUUGAAACUAAUGAGAAAAAGAGAGAAUGUACCAGAAUCUCUGGGACGCAGCUAAAGUAGUGUUAAGAGGGAAAUUUAUAGCACUAAAUGCCCACAUCAAACAGCUGGACAGAGCUCAAGUUGAUAACCUAACAUCUUAACUAAAAGAACUUAGAGAACCAAGAGCAAAUAAACCCCAAAGCUAGCAGAAGAUAAGAAAUAACCAAGAUCAGAGCUGAACUGAAGGAGAUAGAGACACAAAAAAUCCUUAAAAAAAUCAACGAAUCCAGGAGCUGUUUUUUGAAAAAAUUAAUAAAAUAGACAACUAGCUAGACUAACAAAUAAGAAAAGAGAGAAGAGUCAAAUAAACACAAUGAAAAAUGAUAAGGGGGAUAGUACCGCUGACCCCAUAGAAAUACAAACAACCAUCAGAGAAUACUAUGAACACCUCUAUGCAAAUAAACUAGAAAAUGUAGAAAAAAUGGAUAAAUUUCUGGACACAUAUACC